AUACGUAGGGGGCGAGCGUUGUCCGGAAUGAUUGGGCGUAAAGGGCGCGUAGGCGGCCUGUUAAGUCUGGAGUGAAAGUCCUGUUUUCAAGAUGGGAAUUGCUUUGGAUACUGAUGGGCUUGAGUGCAGGAGAGGUUAUCGGAAUUCCCGGUGUAGCGGUGAAAUGCGUAGAGAUCGGGAGGAACACCAGUGGCGAAGGCGGAUAACUGGACUGCAACUGACGCUGAGGCGCGAAAUUGUGGCGAUCAAACAGGAGUAGAUACCCUGUGAGUCCACAUUGUAAACGAUGAAUGCUAGGUUGAAGAGGUAUCUACCCCUUUUGUUCCUGAGUUAACACAAUAAGCAUUCCGCCUGGGUACUACGGCCGCAAGGCUGAAACUCAAAUGAAUUGACGUGG
rnacentral:rRNA from 1 species